GGAAGGAUCAUUAUCGUACAACCGAGAGGUGUGAGGGUUGUUGCUGACCUUUCGAGGUCGUGCACGCCCGAGCGCUCUCACCACAAUCCAUCUCACCCCUUUUGUGCAUCACCGCGUGGGUCCCCCCCUUUGCGGGGAGGGCUCGCGUUUUCAUCAAAAAAUUUGAUACAGUUUAGAAUGUCCAUUUUUUGCGGUCACACGCAAUCAAUACAACUUUCAACAACGGAUCUCUUGGCUCUCGCAUCGAUGAAGAACGCAGCGAAAUGCGAUACGUAAUGUGAAUUGCAGAAUUCAGUGAAUCAUCGAAUCUUUGAACGCACCUUGCGCCCCUUGGCAUUCCGAGGGGCACACCCGUUUGAGUGUCGUGAAAUUCUCAAAAUCCUUUUCUUUGAUCGGAAUAGGACUUUUGGACCUGGAGGUUCAAUGCUUGCUUUCGCCUUUGAAAGUGAGCUCCUCUCAAAUAUAUUAGUGGGGUUCGCUUUGCCGAUCCUUGACGUGAUAAGAUGUUUCUACGUUUUGGAUUUGGCACUGUUUUAUGGACGUCCGCUCCUAAUCGUCCCAUGGACAACGAUGGUGUUUCGGUCACCGCCAUCCACGUUGGCGAGAGGCUGAACCCACAAAAAAAAAAACCUUGACCUCAAAUCGGGUGAGACUACCCGCUGAACUUAAGCAUAUCAAUAAGCGGAGGAAAAGAAACUAACAAGGAUUCCCCUAGUAACUGCGAGUGAAGCGGGAAAAGCUCAAUUUAAAAUCUGGUGGUCUUUGGCCAUCCGAGUUGUAAUUUAGAGAAGCGUCUUCCGCGCCGGGCCGUGCACAAGUCUCCUGGAAUGGAGCGUCAUAGAGGGUGAGAAUCCCGUCUUUGGCACGGAUGUACCGGGGCUUUUGUGAUGCGCUCUCGAAGAGUCGAGUUGUUUGGGAUGCAGCUCAAAUUGGGUGGUGACUCCAUCUAAAGCUAAAUAUGCCGAGAGACGAUAGCGACAGUACGUGAGAAAAGAAUGAAAGCACUUUGGAAGAAGUGAAACAGUACGUGAAAUUGUUGAA
rnacentral:rRNA from 1 species